rnacentral:lncRNA from 1 species
CCCAGUUCUUGUUGUGUAUCUUGGGCAAGUCCCUUCCCCUCUGUCAACCUCAUUUUUCACAUUGAUGCAAUUAAGGCACUGAAUGGAUCAUCAAUUUCCCCAGAACACUUUAGCCUUUCUUUCUUUCUUUGUGAGACUCAAAUAAAAUAGAUGAAAAUGAGGAAGGCAUACCAGAGUGUCACUUGUGAGCUCAGUGUCUCUUUUACCUUCCCUCCGAGGCCCUGAGACACUUCUGCAGAUACCUGAGUCUCCUCUCCAAGGAGUCCCGCCUGCAAAUCACAAGGGUACAUAAAUGAUGCUACAGUCAUCUUGGAAUAGACAGACCUGGCUGGAAUCCUAGCUUUGCCCCUUACUUGCUGCAUGACCUUGAGUCAGUCACUUGACCUCUCUGAGCUGUCUGCAUCAUCUCGCCAAUGGGAAUGGGAAUUAGGAGAUUAGGAGCCCAUGCUGUGCCACUGAUUUGCUCUGUGUCUUGGUGAGCCCCUCCCCUUCUCUGGGCCCCAAACCUGGUGACAGAUUGGGAUCUCUCAUUCCAGCCUCUCCUGGAUCAUCUCUGAAAGGGACAUGACAACUUACGGAUUUCCCAAAGCAGAGCCCAAGGCCCUGGGAAUGCAGCAGUGACCAGAGGUGCUGUUGGCCUUCGUGGAGCUCAUGGUCUCCAGUGACAUGUGUGGGAGUGGACACUUGGACACAGAGGAGGCAUCAUCCCAGUCCUAGGCAAGGUGAGUCCUGGGGCAACAUAAGCCUCACAUAGGUGCCUCAACUUCUGCCCUGUAUGUAGACAGAGCAGGGUAGGAGUCAGCUAAGCCACUGAUUUAAGUACAGACCCCGGGGCAGGGGCAAGCCUGUUGGUCCUCAGCUCCCAUUCUAGGUCGUGAGAGGCCAACUUGACCAACGCAGGAGCUGUAUCUGUUGAUCCCCCUCCCCAGUCAAAUAGAUGCAAAUAACAUGCAAGAGGUCCGAAUUUAAAAUAUGCUGGUGUUAAAUAAAUGUAUUAUGGUCUGCCUGCUGCAAUUAUAGUCAAACUCAACAUGUAGGAUGUGACCCACAUGAAAUACUGAGCCGAUUUUAGUAUCAAACAGCAUACUCACUUUGGAGACAAGAAGAGGCA